GACGAACGCUGGCGGCGUGCUUAACACAUGCAAGUCGAACGGAAAGGCCCUGCUUUUGUGGGGUGCUCGAGUGGCGAACGGGUGAGUAACACGUGAGUAACCUGCCCUUGACUUUGGGAUAACUUCAGGAAACUGGGGCUAAUACCGGAUAGGAGCUCCUGCUGCAUGGUGGGGGUUGGAAAGUUUCGGCGGUUGGGGAUGGACUCGCGGCUUAUCAGCUUGUUGGUGGGGUAGUGGCUUACCAAGGCUUUGACGGGUAGCCGGCCUGAGAGGGUGACCGGCCACAUUGGGCCUGAGAUACGGCGCAGACUCGUACGGGAGGCAGCGGUGGGGAAUAUUGCACAAUGGGCGGAAGCCUGAUGCAGCAGCGCCGCGUGCGGGAUGACGGCCUUCGGGUUGUAAACCGCUUUCGCCUGUGACGAAGCGUGAGUGACGGUAAUGGGUAAAGAAGCACCGGCUAACUACGUG
rnacentral:rRNA from 1 species